UGCCCCUACGGGGCGCAGCAGUCGGGAAUAUUGCGCAAUGGAGGAAACUCUGACGCAGUGACGCCGCGUGCAGGAAGAAGGUUUUCGGAUUGUAAACUGCUUUAGACAGGGAAGAAACAAGACAGUACCUGUAGAAUAAGCUCCGGCUAACUACGUGCCAGCAGCCGCGGUAAUACGUAGGGGGCAAGCGUUAUCCGGAAUUACUGGGUGUAAAGGGAGCGUAGACGGCUGUGCAAGUCUGGAGUGAAA
rnacentral:rRNA from 1 species